ensembl:lincRNA
GAGUGGGCAAGCAGAACAGGUGAUGGGUCAUGCAUCUUCCUGACACACUGUGAAGCAGGAAGAAACAGGAACAGUAGCUCUGUGUUACACGUGAGGAGCGAGAAGCACCAACAUGGGAUGUGUGCUCUGUUUCGGAUGAUUGACCAGCAAGCCCCAAGGAUCUGCCUGUCUCCACCACCCCUCGACCUCCUAGCAUUGGAACUGCAGACAGGAGCUGACACACCCAGGCUUUCACAUGGAUGCUAAGAAUGAUCUAACUCAGGUCUCAGGCUUCCACUGCAAGUGUUGCACCCACUGAGCCAUCCAUCCCGCCCCCUCUACUCUUCGGAAGUUUCCAACCCUAAUAUGGUUUCCGACAAUUGUGUCCAACAAUAAAUAUGUUUUGCUUUAGGGAGGAAA